rnacentral:rRNA from 1 species
AUCAGUGAAACUGAUCUCCCCGUGAAGAAGCGGGGAUAUACAUAUAAGACGAGAAGACCCCAUGGAGCUUUAAACCUGACAGCACCCGCUCAUUCUAUACCCCAUUAUUUGCCCGACCCCUGUCUGCUCAGUUUUAGGUUGGGGUGACCACGGAGUAUAAAAUAACCUCCAUGAAGAAGGGGAUAUUUCCCUUAUUAGAGAACCACACUUCCAAGAACUAAUAAAUUAAUUUUCAAUGACCCGAUACCUGAUAAUCGAUCAACGAACCAAGUUACCCUGGGGAUAACAGCGCAAUCCACCCUGAAAGCCCUUAUUAACAGGUGGGUUUACGACCUCGAUGUUGGAUCAGGGUAUCCCAGUGGUGCAGCAGCUACUGAGGGUUCGUUUGUUCAACGAUUAAAACCCU